AUGGAGACACCAUUAAGGCAAGUCCUGCGAAUGCCCCAAGAGCAGGAAGAGCUUCAUGUGCUGAGCUCUGUGGGAGGAUCAGUGUUGGAUGAUUCCCCAGUGACCCCCAGUGGGCAGAGCCCCGCUGAUCUGUGGUGCUGUUGCCCUGUGUUGAGAAAAUACCUGGCUGGGGGGGCUCCACCUCUUCCUGGCUCCCUGCAGCCUCGAUUUUCUUUUAAUUUCUCUUUGUCCUUUCCAAACAUCCAAAACUGGCGUAAAAAUAAAGAUGUUGAACUAAAACAUGGAGACAUGGGGGGAACUUGCAGGGGCUGUGGGGGGAUGCUGGGUUUGAGGGAGUUGAGGGUUCCUGGGAGGGACUUGGGGCUUGCUGAGGGCUUUGGGGACCCCAGGCCGAGCGACUCCGGCUGCACUGGGAGACCCUGGCGGAGGUCCUGGGGCAGCUGCUCAAGGCCCCCCUGCCCUGGACCUAUCCCCAUGUCCCCCUGUCCCAGUUACUGGAGUCCUCUUGGCCCGGAUGCACCUCUCCUUGCUGCCACUCCCAUGUACCCCGCCUGUUCCCACGUCACCCCACUCCUGGUCCCGUCCAGCUCCCAUCCCAGUCUGGAUCCCAUUCCCGGUCUCAUUCCCUGUUCCUGUCCCGUUUUCUCCUUUCCCAUAUUCUCAGUCCUGUAUUCUCUUUCCUGUUCCCGUUCUCGUAUACCCGUUCGCAUAUUUCCAUUUCCACAUUCCCAUUCUCGGUCCCGCUCCCAUAUUCCAGUUCCCGUAUUUCCGGUCCCGUUCACUUAUUCCCGAUCCCAAUCCCGGUCCCGGUCCUAUCUUCCUAUUCCUCAUCCCAUAUUCCCAGUCCGGUUGCCAUUCCCAGUCCCGUUCGCAUAUUCCCAAUCCCCGUCCCGUUCCCAGUCCCGUAUUUCCAGUCCCAUUCCCGGUCCCUGUCCCCAUUCCCGGUCCCUGUCCCCUUACAGCGGACGCCGCCGCCAUCGCUCCGCCCUCCCGGCCCUCACCUGA
rnacentral:lncRNA from 1 species